GUGAGUAAUAUAUGGGAAUCUGCCCUAAAGAGAGGGACAACAGUUGGAAACGGCUGCUAAUACCUCAUAAUAUCAACUUUUAGCUAAGUUUGAUUAAAGGUGGCGUAAGCUGUCGCUUUAGGAUGAGCCCAUAUUGGAUUAGCUAGUUGGUGGGGUAAUGGCCUACCAAGGCUACGAUCCAUAGCUGUUCUGAGAGGAAGAUCAGCCACACUGGGACUGAGACACGGCCCAGACUCC
rnacentral:rRNA from 1 species